GCUGACUUCCGCGUCAGACAGUGUUCGUUUGGACAGCGAGUGAGACGGAGGGCCUGCGCGCGCGGAGAGGGAGACGGACAGAGAGGCAGAAAGUAGAGAAAGAGAGACAGGAGGAGGAGAUUUAAGGUUUAUUUAGACGUCAGCCAACAGGAAGUCAUAGAAGACGCUGCUGGUGCAGAAUGAAGCCUGCGGUUUGGUACAUGAUGAUGAUCAUUGUGGGCUUUUUCUACGUGUACCUGACGGCCAUCCAGUACAUCCGGGGCCAGGAGCUGGAUGAGCCUCCCAGUAACUACCUGCCGCAGUAUGACCCACAGUACUUCGACGAGAACCUCUUCAGCCCGACGAGCAGCCUGGACUUCGAGUACCACGACUACACGAGCAUGACGUCCUUCCUGCGGGCCAUGAGCGCCACGUACCCCAACCUGACGGCGCUCUACUCCAUCGGCAAGAGCGUGCAAGGGCGAGAUCUGUGGGUGCUGGUGGUGUCCGCAUCGCCGUACGAGCACAUCGUGGGCCAACCCAAUGUCAAGUACGUAGCCAAUAUGCACGGAAACGAAGCGGUUGGCCGAGAAAUGCUCCUGCACUUGGUAGAGUACCUGGCGAAGAGCUACCACACGGACGAGUACGUGCGGUGGCUGCUGGACAACACCCGCAUCCACAUCCUGCCCUCGAUGAAUCCGGAUGGCUUCGAGGUGGCGAGGGAAGGCACGUGCCAGGGGGGGCAGGGAAGGUACAACUCCCGCGGCUUCGACCUGAACCGCAACUUCCCCGACUACUUCAAGCAGAACAACAAGCGGUCGCAGCCGGAGGCCGAGGCCGUGAAGCAGUGGGUGUCCAAGAUCCAGUUCGUGCUGUCGGCCAACCUGCACGGCGGCGCCCUCGUGGCCUCCUACCCCUUCGACAACUCGCCCAACACCAUCAAGAACUGCGACUUGAAGCCAUUGUGUGCAGUCUUCCAACAGUUCACCUCCACGCCUUCGCUCACGCCUGACGACGACGUCUUCAAGCACAUCGCCAGCCUCUACGCCUUCAACCACGCCACGAUGCACCUGGGCCUCCCGUGCAAGCCGGGCGCGCCCACCUUCGCCAACGGCACCACCAACGGAGCCGCCUGGUACCCGCUCACUGGUGGCAUGCAAGACUACAACUACGUCUGGCACGGUUGCAUGGACAUCACCAUCGAAAUGUCAUGUUGCAAAUACCCCCCCGCUGAUGAUCUGCCCAAAUUCUGGGAGGACAACAAGAAGGCCCUAGUGAGGUACCUGGGCGAAGUGCACCGCGGCGUCCGGGGCUUCGUGAAGGACGAGCGCAACGCCCCCGUGGAGGGCGCCUCGCUCAAGAUCAAGGGGCGCGACGUCGGCUUCCAGACCACCAAGUACGGGGAGUACUGGCGCGUCCUGCUGCCCGGCCGCUACGCCAUCGAGGUGUACGCUGAAGGUUUCGAACCCAGGGAAGAAGAGUUCGAGGUUAUUGAGACGAAUCCAACCCUGCUGAACCUCACCUUAUACAAAGCUGUGCCCGGCCCGACAGCCCUGCCCUCGCGGCCGGAGCAACAGGCGCCCGAGACCACAGCCGGGCCAGAGACCCUGAGCAAUCCUGCGCCGUGGGUCUGGGCCGUCGUCCUGAUGGCGGUGACGGCGGCCACUCUGUUCGCGGCCAAGGUCGUGCGGGCGAGGUCGAAGAAAAAUUAGUGGGAAAGGCCUUGGAAUUGGUCGGCAAUGAGAGGGCGUUAGGAUUUUUUUUUUUUUUUUUUUCUGAAGAGAGAGAGAUUAAUAGUGCUGGGAAUUGGAAGGAAUUAGCGAGAAGGAUUUGAGGAGGGAAUUAGAGAGAAAAUUUGUUGGACAUUUGGAGAAGGAAUAUGCUGGAAAAAAAAGUUAAAAAGAGGAAAGAAAAUGUUUAGUUUUCGCGAUAACAAAUCGAGGAUAAAGAUGACUAUAAACUGAUUUUCGAUAUCGUGAAAUUUAAUAGAAGUAAACCUAAAUAGCGAUACAUUUCCUAUAAAAGUGUUGGGGAAAAAAUAUCAAAUAUUCUCACCGAAUGAUUAUUUCGAUUCGGAUCCCCUUCAAAGACGGAAUUUUGAACUUCGCAACUUGGAUUUUUUUCGUGAUAGUGUAAUACAGAUAACACAGGAAAGACCGCGAGGCUUUUCGUUAUAAAGAUAAAAUUUCCGAAUUCCAUUAACUCGAAAGGACACGUGCCAGAUUGUAGGAAGGCUGGGUUAGAGGUUAUGGAAGCAACGAAAUAGAAAAAAAUAAGCUCGCUUUUUACGGAAGAGAAGUUUAGAUAAGGGAUAAAAGCCUAAACUGUUAUAAAUAAAUAAAUAAAAACGCGAGUAGCUAGCGUUAUGUGGUAGUUUUUCUGUAACUGAUGUUAUCGAGAUGUAAAGGCAGUGGUGUUGACGAAACAAAUUUUGUAAAUAAAUGAGUGAAUAAUCGUCUUAAGCCGAUGUCCGCCUACACAGCAACGAGCGUCAUUUUAGCAAGUUGUUGAUUUAUAUGGUUUAUAUUUUACGCUCGUUUCAUAUCACAGUUCUUUUUUUCUAAGGUUCACUUUGAUCGUUAGAGCGCCGAGGUCCGUUCUCUGGUUACAGCUGAAAUACGCCUGUGUGUUCACCUGUAUUUAGUAAGAUAUCUUAGGCACGUAAUUCAUCGUAAGCCUUCAUCGUUCGAAAGAAAAGGAAAGAAAAUAUUAUUAUAUAUCUAAUCAUCGUGUAACUUGUCAUUAACUGAUUCCCAGUUAAUCAGCUUUAUUCGUGGCUCUAUGGAAAACUGAGUAAGACAUUUUUAGGCCCGUAAUUCGUCGUCUGUUACAGAAAGUUGGUAGAUGUUCCGUAUAUCCAGUUCGGUUUUUGACACUUUUUAAACUACACGAAAUAUGCACAUCGUUGUCUUUUAGAUCUGAUGUUUCUAGAUCUUGUGUUACUGAUUAUGUGAUAAGAAUAUCCGCCAUUUUUUAAUAGUAAUUAUAAUGCAACAUGGUAAUGGUCUUGUCUGUGAUAAUCUAUCGAAAGAAUAUAAAAUUUGUAAAAUGAAAAAAAAAAAGUUCUUGCAGUUGAUUUGAAUGUGACUUUAGGCAGUUUUCCUUUUUUGAGGUUCAGAUUUAGCUAGAAGUUUAUAGUGUUGAUGUGUCGUAGCCAAAGAUUUACAGUUUGAUUUGUUUAUGACACUUAGUGUUUGAUUCAGACUAAAGGUUUUCUUAAAGGUUUUAAAGUUGUCUUCAUCGCAUCUUCACUGAAAAACGUGAGUCGUUUCAGUGAUUGCGCUUCGAUGACUCGUAGGAUAAAGUUUAAGCCGAACUUCUCUUUUAAAUCUCACACGUCUGGAACGGACAUGUUUUCUCAACUGUUCUUGAGACGAAAAGGGGAAUAUAUAUACAGAUACUGUGAAUAAGGAAAUUCAAAUAAGUGUUAAGAGUCAGACGAUAUUAGGAAAAGAGAGAGAGAGAAAGGACCCGCCUCGCAAACCGAAAACCCGAUCGGCCAGAUCCCGGAUUGCUCGGAAGGUCAGCUCAGGUCAGGUCAACAGGCGGGCGCGUGUGACGUCACGGUGCAUGGACGACACGCGCCGGAUCGAGGUCAACACAGGUGGUGGUUGCGACACCCUUGCUGCGCGCUUGCAUGCGGACCGACAGGGGACUUCACGCGUGCCCUGAUGCGGACCCAUGGCGCCAGGGAGGACGCGCGGCACCGCAUCGACCAGCAGCGGCGGCCCGUGUACGUGGGCGGCCCGAGCCAGCAGCAGGGCGGCGCCCCUCAGCCCCAGGGCGGAAUAGGCGGCUUCCUGUCGUCCAUCGGAGACACUAUAUCCAACGUGAUCAGCAUC
rnacentral:misc_RNA from 1 species